rnacentral:rRNA from 1 species
UACGUAGGGUGCAAGCGUUAAUCGGAAUUACUGGGCGUAAAGCGUGCGCAGGCGGUUUGUAAGUCUGUCGUGAAAUCCCCGGGCUCAACCUGGGAAUUGCGAUGGAGACUGCAAGGCUAGAAUCUGGCAGAGGGGGGUGGAAUUCCGCGUGUAGCAGUGAAAUGCGUAGAGAUGCGGAGGAACACCGAUGGCGAAGGCAGCCCCCUGGGCCAACACUGACGCUCAGGCACGAAAGCGUGGGGAGCAAACAGG